CCUACGGGGGGCAGCAGUGGGGAAUAUUGCACAAUGGGGGAAACCCUGAUGCAGCGACGCCGCGUGAGUGAAGAAGUAUUUCUGUAUGUAAAGCUCUAUCAGCAGGGAAGAAGAAAGACGGUACCUGACGAAGAAGCCCCGGCUAACUACGUGCCAGCAGCCGCGGUAAUACGUAGGGGGCAAGCGUUAUCCGGAUUUACUGGGUGUAAAGGGAGCGUAGACGGCUGUGCAAGUCUGAAGUGAAAGCCCAGGGCUCAACCCUGGGACUGCUUUGGAAACUGUGGAGCUAGAGUGCUGGUGAGGCAAGUGGAAUUCGUAGUGUAGCGGUGAAAUGCGUAGAUAUUAGGCGGAACACCAGUGGCGCAGGCAGCUUACUAGACAGUAACUGACGUUGAGGCUCGAAAGCGUGGGGAGCAAACAGGAUUAGAUACCCCUGUAGUC
rnacentral:rRNA from 1 species